GGGAACAUACCCUUUUCUACGGAAUAGCUCUGGGAAACUGGGAUUAAUACCGUAUACGCCCUACGGGGGAAAGAUUUAUCGGGGAAGGAUUGGCCCGCGUUGGAUUAGCUAGUUGGUGGGGUAAAGGCCUACCAAGGCGACGAUCCAUAGCUGGUCUGAGAGGAUGAUCAGCCACAUUGGGACUGAGACACGGCCCAAACUCCUACGGGAGGCAGCAGUGGGGAAUAUUGGACAAUGGGCGCAAGCCUGAUCCAGCCAUGCCGCGUGAGUGAUGAAGGCCUUAGGGUUGUAAAGCUCUUUCACCGAUGAAGAUAAUGACGGUAGUCGGAGAAGAAGCCCCGGCUAACUUCGUGCCAGCAGCCGCGGUAAUACGAAGGGGGCUAGCGUUGUUCGGAAUUACUGGGCGUAAAGCGCACGUAGGCGGAUAUUUAAGUCAGGGGUGAAAUCCCAGAGCUCAACUCUGGAACUGCCUUUGAUACUGGGUAUCUUGAGUAUGGAAGAGGUAAGUGGAAUUGCGAGU
rnacentral:rRNA from 1 species